UACGUAGGGGGCAAGCGUUGUCCGGAUUUAUUGGGCGUAAAGAGCGUGUAGGCGGCCAGAUAGGUCUGCUGUGAAAACUCGAGGCUUAACCUCGAGAUGUCGGCGGAAACCAUCUGGCUAGAGUCCGGAAGAGGAGAGUGGAAUUCCGUGGUGUAGCGGUGAAAUGCGCAGAUAUCAGGAAGAACACCCGUGGCGAAGGCGGCUCUCGUGGGACGGUACUGACGCUGAG
rnacentral:rRNA from 1 species